rnacentral:rRNA from 1 species
CCUACGGGAGGCAGCAGUAGGGAAUCUUCCACAAUGGGCGAAAGCCUGAUGGAGCAACGCCGCGUGAGUGAAGAAGGUUUUCGGAUCGUAAAACUCUGUUGUAAGGGAAGAACAAGUGCAGUAGUAACUGGCUGCACCUUGACGGUACCUUAUUAGAAAGCCACGGCUAACUACGUGCCAGCAGCCGCGGUAAUACGUAGUGGCAAGCGUUGUCCGGAAUUAUUGGGCGUAAAGCGCGCGCAGGCGGUUUCUUAAGUCUGAUGUGAAAGCCUCGGCUUAACCGAGGAGGGUCAUUGGAAACUGGGAGACUUGAGUGCAGAAGAGGAAAGUGGAAUUCCAAGUGUAGCGGUGAAAUGCGUAGAGAUUUGGAGGAACACCAGUGGCGAAGGGCGACUUUCUGGUCUGUAACUGACGCUGAGGCGCGAAAGCGUGGGGAGCAACCAGGAUUAGAUACCCUGGUAGUCCACGCCGUAAACGAUGAGUGCUAAGUGUUAGGGGGUUUCCGCCCCUUAGUGCUGCAGCUAACGCAUUAAGCACUCCGCCUGGGGAGUACGGUCGCAAGACUGAAACUCAAAGGAAUUGACGGGGGCCCGCACAAGCGGUGGAGCAUGUGGUUUAAUUCGAAGCAACGCGAAGAACCUUAC